rnacentral:tRNA from 1 species
GGGGCUGUAGCUCAGUUGGGAGAGCGCUUGUAUGGCAUACAAGAGGUCAGGGGUUCAAUCCCCCUCAGCUCCACCA